rnacentral:rRNA from 1 species
UACGUAGGGGGCGAGCGUUGUCCGGAAUUAUUGGGCGUAAAGAGCUCGUAGGCGGCUUGGCAAGUCGGACGUGAAAACUCCAGGCUCAACCUGGAGCCGCCAUUCGAUACUGCUAUGGCUAGAGUCCGGUAGGGGAUGUGGAAUUCCCGGUGUAGCGGUGAAAUGCGCAGAUAUCGGGAGGAACACCGAUGGCGAAGGCAGCACUCUGGGCCGGCACUGACGCUGAGGAGCGAAAGCGUGGGGAGCGAACAGG